rnacentral:rRNA from 1 species
GACGAACGCUGGCGGCGUGCCUAAUACAUGCAAGUAGAACGCACAGUUUAUACCGUAGCUUGCUCCACCAUAGACUGUGAGUUGCGAACGAGUGAGUAACGCGUAGGUAACCUGCCUGGUAGCGGGGGAUAACUAUUGGAAACGAUAGCUAAUACCGCAUAAUAUUCAUUAUUGCAUGAUAAUUAAUUGAAAGGUGCAAUUGCACCACUACCAGAUGGACCUGCGUUGUAUUAGCUAGUAGGUGAGGUAACGGCUCACCUAGGCGACGAUACAUAGCCGACCUGAGAGGGUGAUCGGCCACACUGGGACUGAGACACGGCCCAGACUCCUACGGGAGGCAGCAGUAGGGAAUCUUCGGCAAUGGACGAAAGGCUGACCGAGCAACGCCGCGUGAGUGAAGAAGGUUUUCGGAUCGUAAAGCUCUGUUGUAAGAGAAGAACGGGUGUGAGAGUGGAAAGUUCACACUGUGACGGUAUCUGACCAGAAAGGGACGGCUAACUACGUG